GAAAACUAAAGUAAAAAAAAAAGAAGGAAUACUCCAAAAUUUCACGGUAAUCCCUCCAAAUUCACUUUCACCUUAAAUCCCUCCAAAAUACUUUCACAAAAUCCCUAAACUUCAUCCCUAAGAGGCAAAACUAAAAAGUAGGCCAUCAAGAUCCCUAACAGGCGCUGCUAAUCCUCAUCAAAAUUCAGAAAGUUGCAAAGAACUCAGAAGCUAGGUUGGUGUCGAAAAUUCAUCUCUCUCCAAGCGACUUCACACAAAUUAUACCAUUAGAUUAUCCGCCUAAUCAAGAGGAAAGGAGGGCGAGAGCUUAGAUCUAUGCAAACUGAUAUUUCAUUUUCUCCUUACUAUUGAUCAAGUUAUGCAAUCCACCCAAACAAUUCACACAAGUUCAUGUACUGCUGGAAAGGUAAAAAAGGUUCGAGGAAGUAACAAGUGCAAAGAAGUUGCAUCACUUGAAGUUGGGGAGAAGCUAAAAGUAACAUUUUGCAAUAAUCGAACGGUUGGAAAGAAUAGCAAUCUAUUUUCGAGGCACUUGGAAAAAAUAGUUCGUGACCGUAAUAUAUGUCUGUUGGGAGUAUCAUCGUGGGAUCGCAUUAAGGAAGAAAAGUUAAUUCACAUGUGGGCAGCUAACUGUUAAGCUUUAUUGGAUUUGUUCUGUGGCUGAUCAGGUGUGAGGUUAAGAGUUUCAUUAGCAGCAGUGACAAAUCCCCAGCAAGUUAAGUUUCUGCCAUUGCUGCAACUCCCAAGAUCAAAUGAAGGAAAAGAAAAGUUAUUGAAUUCAACAAAUAGAACUGAGAUAUGAUUAAGAAGGACUAGAAGCCUUAAUAUAGUUUCAAGAUCUGUGUAUGUAUAUAUAUAUAUAUAUGUACAGGACUAAGAUGCUGUUUUAGUUGAUUAAGAGAAUGUUCUUUCAUUUUUCUAUCUUGUUGAGGAAAGUGAAGACAAAUUUCCAUACAAAGAGUGUUUUAGUGAAUUGGGAAAAUAGAAUUCUCUAUUUUGUGUCU